ensembl:lncRNA
GUAUGGGUAGGUCUAGGUAUAAUCAGUGUCAGAACCCUGCUAUACUGUAUCCACGGUAACAGUAUGGGUAGGUCUAGGUAUAAUCAGUGUCAGAACCCUGCUAUACUGUAUCCACGGUAACAGUAUGGGUAGGUCUAGGUAUAAUCAGUGUCAGAUCCCUGCUAUACUGUAUCCACGGUAACAGUCUGGGUAGGUCUAGGUGUAAUCAGUGUCAGAACCCUGCUAUACCGUAUCCACGGUAACAGUCUAGGUAGGUCUAGGUGUAAUCAGUGUCAGAUCCCUGCUAUACUGUAUCCACGGUAACAGUCUAGGUAGGUCUAGGUGUAAUCAGUGUCAGAUCCCUGCUAUACUGUAUCCACGGUAACAGUAUGGGUAGGUCUAGGUGUAAAUCAGUGUCAGAACCCUGCUUUACCGUAUCCACGGUAACAGUCUAGGUAGGUCUAGGUGUAAUCAGUGUCAGAACCCUGCUAUACCGUAUCCACGGUAACAGUCUAGGUAGGUCUAGGUGUAAUCAGUGUCAGAACCCUGCUAUACCGUAUCCACGGUAACAGUCUGGGUAGGUCUAGGUGUAAUCAGUGUUUACCCUUCAUUAAAACACACAUCUUUCAUAGUGUGGUCCACUGCUCCCUUUCUAUCUAGUCACAUGCUUCUCAUAUUUCACUAGUCUUAUGAAAACUACAAACAAAAAUCCUAGGAAAAACGCAACAAAGAAAACCAAAAAUCUGUAAGCAGCGCAAGUGUUUAGUCCAUAAGCAGAAUACCAUGUGCCUUUUAUCAGUACAUGGUUAGGGAGGCAAUGGUUCACACGGUCUACAGUACACAACGAUAAACUAGUCAACGUUCUUUUGAAGCUUUGGUGUGUGUUUCUGUAUAAGAUAACCUGUUGACAUGGCAGCUGUGGACCUACGAACCGUGGCAAGUCGCAACACAGAUAUCUUGUCGCUGCCCGAGGAGGGCACCGUGUCGAAACACCUACAGCGGUCAAAUCAUGGUCCAAACUGAAUGGUAGAACAUGGCUCAGAACUCAGGAAGAAUAUCAGACCCACCACUUCUCUAAAAUGUAAAAGUGAAGUUGAUCGAGCCACUGAUGGACAGGUGACCCAGUGUUAACGAAAUGUGAUUGUUAGUUAUGGUCUCUACACAGUCUAAACUCGUACAAUAUAUACUUAACAAUUUUUUUUUUUAAAGGCAACAUGUAAAAUGUUGGUCCCAUGUUUCAUGAGCUAAAAGAGAAGAUCCCAGACAUUUUCCAUGCGCCAAAAAAAAAAAAAAGACGCGUAUUUCUCUCAAAUUUUGUUCACUAAUCUGUCUACAUCCCUGUUACUGAGCAUUUCUCCUUUGCCAAGAUAAUCCAUCCACCUGACAGGUGUGGCAUAUGAAGAAGCUGAUUAAAUAGCAUGAUCAUUACACAGGUGUACCUUGUGCUGGGGGACAAUACAAAUCCACUCUAAAACGUGCAGACCCCAUGUAUGGCGUCGUGUGGGCAAGUGGUUUGCCCCAUGGUGGCGGUGGGGUUAUGGUAUGGGCAGGUGUAAGUUUACGGACAACAAACAAAAUUGCAUUUUAUCGAUGCCAAUUUGAAUGUAGAGAAAUACUGUGACAAGCUCCUGAGGUAUCUGUGACCAAUAGAUG